UACGUAGGGUGCAAGCGUUAAUCGGAAUUACUGGGCGUAAAGCGCGCGUAGACGGUUUUGUAAGUCAGAUGUGAAAUCCCUGGGCUCAACCUGGGAACUGCAUUUGAAACUGCAUGGCUAGAGUAUGGAAGAGGGAAGUGGAAUUUCCGGUAUAGCGGUGAAAUGCGUAGAUAUCGGGAGGAACACCAGUGGCGAAGGCGACUACCUGGCCUGUUCUUGACGCUGAGGCGCGAAAGCUAGGGGAGCAAACGGG
rnacentral:rRNA from 1 species